rnacentral:misc_RNA from 1 species
GAUGAAGAACGUAGCGAAAUGCGAUACUUGGUGUGAAUUGCAGAAUCCCGUGAACCAUCGAGUCUUUGAACGCAAGUUGCGCCCGAAGCCUCGGCUAAGGGCACGUCUGCCUGGGCGUCACGCAUCGCGUCUCCCCCAAACCGCCAAGGCGGAGGGGAAGGCAGAUGGCUUCCCGUGCCUCACCCGGGCGCGGUUGGCCUAAAUUUGGAGCCCGCGGCACUUAGCUCUCGCGGCGAUAGGUGGUGAACAAGGCCUUGGCCGUGCAAACAACCCGCUGCGAAGCUCUAUGUCACGUGCGCUCGUCGGACCCUUUGAAGUUGCCUUUGGUGACUUAAAACCUUUGCGACCCCAGGUCAGGCGGGGCUACCCGCUGAAUUUAAGCAUAUCAAUAAGCGGAGGA